GGAAAAGAAAUCAACCGAGAUUCCCCCAGUAGCGGCGAGCGAACGGGGAGCAGCCCAGAGCCUGAAUCAGUGUGUGUGUUAGUGGAAGCGUCUGGAAAGGCGUGCGAUACAGGGUGACAGCCCCGUACACAAAAAUGCACAUACUGUGAGCUCGAUGAGUAGGGCGGGACACGUGGUAUCCUGUCUGAAUAUGGGGGGACCAUCCUCCAAGGCUAAAUACUCCUGACUGACCGAUAGUGAACCAGUACCGUGAGGGAAAGGCGAAAAGAACCCCGGCGAGGGGAGUGAAAAAGAACCUGAAACCGUGUACGUACAAGCAGUGGGAGCACGCUUAGGCGUGUGACUGCGUACCUUUUGUAUAAUGGGUCAGCGACUUAUAUUCUGUAGCAAGGUUAACCGAAUAGGGGAGCCGAAGGGAAACCGAGUCUUAACUGGGCGUUAAGUUGCAGGGUAUAGACCCGAAACCCGGUGAUCUAGCCAUGGGCAGGUUGAAGGUUGGGUAACACUAACUGGAGGACCGAACCGACUAAUGUUGAAAAAUUAGCGGAUGACUUGUGGCUGGGGGUGAAAGGCCAAUCAAACCGGGAGAUAGCUGGUUCUCCCCGAAAGCUAUUUAGGUAGCGCCUCGUGAAUUCAUCUCCGGGGGUAGAGCACUGUUUCGGCAAGGGGGUCAUCCCGACUUACCAACCCGAUGCAAACUGCGAAUACCGGAGAAUGUUAUCACGGGAGACACACGGCGGGUGCUAACGUCCGUCGUGAAGAGGGAAACAACCCAGACCGCCAGCUAAGGUCCCAAAGUCAUGGUUAAGUGGGAAACGAUGUGGGAAGGCCCAGACAGCCAGGAUGUUGGCUUAGAAGCAGCCAUCAUUUAAAGAAAGCGUAAUAGCUCACUGGUCGAGUCGGCCUGCGCGGAAGAUGUAACGGGGCUAAACCAUGCACCGAAGCUGCGGCAGCGACGCUUAUGCGUUGUUGGGUAGGGGAGCGUUCUGUAAGCCUGUGAAGGUGUGCUGUGAGGUAUGCUGGAGGUAUCAGAAGUGCGAAUGCUGACAUAAGUAACGAUAAAGCGGGUGAAAAGCCCGCUCGCCGGAAGACCAAGGGUUCCUGUCCAACGUUAAUCGGGGCAGGGUGAGUCGACCCCUAAGGCGAGGCCGAAAGGCGUAGUCGAUGGGAAACAGGUUAAUAUUCCUGUACUUGGUGUUACUGCGAAGGGGGGACGGAGAAGGCUAUGUUGGCCGGGCGACGGUUGUCCCGGUUUAAGCGUGUAGGCUGGUUUUCCAGGCAAAUCCGGAAAAUCAAGGCCGAGGCGUGAUGACGAGGCACUACGGUGCUGAAGCAACAAAUGCCCUGCUUCCAGGAAAAGCCUCUAAGCAUCAGGUAACAUCAAAUCGUACCCCAAACCGACACAGGUGGUCAGGUAGAGAAUACCAAGGCGCUUGAGAGAACUCGGGUGAAGGAACUAGGCAAAAUGGUGCCGUAACUUCGGGAGAAGGCACGCUGAUACGUAGGUGAAGCGACUUGCUCGUGGAGCUGAAAUCAGUCGAAGAUACCAGCUGGCUGCAACUGUUUAUUAAAAACACAGCACUGUGCAAACACGAAAGUGGACGUAUACGGUGUGACGCCUGCCCGGUGCCGGAAGGUUAAUUGAUGGGGUUAGCGCAAGCGAAGCUCUUGAUCGAAGCCCCGGUAAACGGCGGCCGUAACUAUAACGGUCCUAAGGUAGCGAAAUUCCUUGUCGGGUAAGUUCCGACCUGCACGAAUGGCGUAAUGAUGGCCAGGCUGUCUCCACCCGAGACUCAGUGAAAUUGAACUCGCUGUGAAGAUGCAGUGUACCCGCGGCAAGACGGAAAGACCCCGUGAACCUUUACUAUAGCUUGACACUGAACAUUGAGCCUUGAUGUGUAGGAUAGGUGGGAGGCUUUGAAGUGUGGACGCCAGUCUGCAUGGAGCCGACCUUGAAAUACCACCCUUUAAUGUUUGAUGUUCUAACGUGGACCCGUGAUCCGGGUUGCGGACAGUGUCUGGUGGGUAGUUUGACUGGGGCGGUCUCCUCCUAAAGAGUAACGGAGGAGCACGAAGGUUGGCUAAUCCUGGUCGGACAUCAGGAGGUUAGUGCAAUGGCAUAAGCCAGCUUGACUGCGAGCGUGACGGCGCGAGCAGGUGCGAAAGCAGGUCAUAGUGAUCCGGUGGUUCUGAAUGGAAGGGCCAUCGCUCAACGGAUAAAAGGUACUCCGGGGAUAACAGGCUGAUACCGCCCAAGAGUUCAUAUCGACGGCGGUGUUUGGCACCUCGAUGUCGGCUCAUCACAUCCUGGGGCUGAAGUAGGUCCCAAGGGUAUGGCUGUUCGCCAUUUAAAGUGGUACGCGAGCUGGGUUUAGAACGUCGUGAGACAGUUCGGUCCCUAUCUGCCGUGGGCGCUGGAGAACUGAGGGGGGCUGCUCCUAGUACGAGAGGACCGGAGUGGACGCAUCACUGGUGUUCGGGUUGUCAUGCCAAUGGCACUGCCCGGUAGCUAAAUGCGGAAGAGAUAAGUGCUGAAAGCAUCUAAGCACGAAACUUGCCCCGAGAUGAGUUCUCCCUGACCCUUUAAGGGUCCUGAAGGAACGUUGAAGACGACGACGUUGAUAGGCCGGGUGUGUAAGCGCAGCGAUGCGUUGAGCUAACCGGUACUAAUGAACCGUGAGGCUUAACCUU
rnacentral:rRNA from 1 species